UUUCCGUAGGUGAACCAGCGGAAGGAUCAUUACAGAGUUCAUGCCCUCACGGGUAGAUCUCCCACCCUUGAAUAUUUAUACCUUAGUUGCUUUGGCAGGCCGUGGAAACACCAUGGGCUCCGGCUUAUGCGUGCCUGCCAGAGGAAACAAACUCUGUUUUUAGUGAUGUCUGAGUACUAUAUAAUAGUUAAAACUUUCAACAACGGAUCUCUUGGUUCUG
rnacentral:misc_RNA from 1 species